CCAAUAGCGUAUAUUAAAGUUGUUGCAGUUAAAAAGCUCGUAGUUGAAUUUCGAGACCGGCUUACUGGUCGUGCUAUUGUGCGUACUGGUAUAAUCGGUUUCUCCUUUCUGACGAACUAUAAUGCCAUUAAUUUGGUGUUAUAGGGAAUCAGGACUGUUACUUUGAAAAAAUUAGAGUGUUUAAAGCAGGCUCACGCUUGAAUACAUUAGCAUGGAAUAACGGAAUAGGACGUUUGAUUCUAUUUUGUUGGUUUCUAGGAUCGACGUAAUGAUUAAUAGGGAUAGUUGGGGGCAUUAGUAUUCAAUUGUCAGAGGUGAAAUUCUUGGAUUUAUUGAAGACUAACUACUGCGAAAGCAUUUGCCAAGGAUGUUUUCAUUAAUCAAGAACGAAAGUUAGGGGAUCGAAGACGAUCAGAUACCGUCGUAGUCUUAACCAUAAACUAUGCCGACUAGGGAUCGGAUGAUGUUAAUUUUUUAAUGACUCAUUCGGCGCCUUACG
rnacentral:rRNA from 1 species